UUAUAACUCACAGAUCAUUAGUUUUCCUCCCAACUCCUUGUUUUCUGAGAAGAAUGACUGGACGGAUCACAUCUUUCGAGAUGGCAGAUGACAAAGCUUGAUGAAGUACAGACAACUCAGACUGUAGUCUUCGCUUUAAUCCCUCUUUUGGCUGGAUCGCCCUUUCGGGUUUUCAAUCCACCGGGAUACCCAUUUUUGCCUAAGCCGCCCUUGCGGGUUUUCGACUUACCGGGUGUACAAAUUCUUUUCAUUUUAUCCCUAAUUUUUGCCCGAACCUUUCCUUUCUGUUUUUUGGUUCGCCGGGAUGCCCUUUUUUUGCCUGGACUCUUUUUCUUUUUGUCCAGCGGGUCAAUUUAUGCGAAGUAUUUUUUGACUACAUCUGAGUUAACAGGAGACGGAAAAUC
rnacentral:lncRNA from 1 species